GACGAACCACCCAAACGUUAUUCGGAAUCACUGGGCUUAAAGCGUGCGUAGGCGGUUCGGAAAGUAGGGUGUGAAAUCCCACAGCUCAACUGUGGAACUGCGCUCUAAACUUCCGGGCUAGAGGGAUAUAGAGGUGAGCAGAACAGAUGGUGGAGCGGUGAAAUGCGUUGAUAUCAUCUGGAAUACCGGAGGCGAAGGCGGCUCACUGGGUAUCUUCUGACGCUGAGGUACGAAAGCUAGGGGAGCGAACGGG
rnacentral:rRNA from 1 species